ACCAAUUCAAUAAAAUUUUCGAUAGCAUGACAUGGCUAAUAUAAUAUUACCAGCCUGUCAAGGCAAAGUAAAACAGUUCAUAUAUUCCACACAAACACAAAUCCUGUUGUGCUUGCCAUCACAUUGUCAUAAGCCAUCAAUUCAAACCAUAUGUCAAAACAUAUAUAUAACACAAGUAUACAGUCUCCACUUACUCAAUUUCCAAAACCAGUAUUCAAUUUCAAAACAAGUUAUAAAUCUCAUUUCGUUUAAUCAACACUUCAAUUAUAAAACAUAAUAGUUUGCAAUUUAAAUUCAUUUUUUUAAAACAUAAAAACUAGUAUAAACUACUUUAGAUAGUUAAGAUGAAAGUCUGAUUACUCACAAUAGUAGGAGUUUGGAGUACUCCUAUUCUUGGUCCUCGGGCACAAUAUCUUUACCCUUAUCAAAGGGCUCACCACCUAUACAUAAUACACGACACGUAAUUCAAUAUAUUUGUGCCAAACUGUUAUAAAACUAUUUCAGGCUCUAUAUGAAUGGAUGACAUUGAAUGAGAAUUGUCUGAAUAAUCACUUAAAGAUGGUGUUCUACAUGGGUUCAAUUAUGAUCGGAAUGAAUUUGUAUUCGACCUAAUUCGAACUAUACACUAUUGAUUUAACCAAAACAUUCGAUUCAACUCCAAAUAUAUUCAUUACACUCCCAAUAAUCUAAUACACCAAAGCAUUACAAUGAACUUUGAUUUUUGACUAACUUCACCAUUUUUCGAAAUUCAUUCCGAUUCCAAACUAACAUACUAAUCAAUGUCUACACAGUCUCGUAAAUCCAUAUAUAUCAUUAGGAAUCAAAUCCAAGUCCAUUUACUAUGAUUUUCUCAAUUUCCAUCAAACCAUUUUCUAAAGGAAUUAUACUUUUCAAUAACCGGUUUUGAUAUCCAACAUCAUAAUUCAUCAAUUCCUAGCUAAAUAACAUGAAUUACAACCAAAUCCAUCAACAACAUGCCCUAUAAAAAAUUUGGCCAAAUGAGGGUGGUUGAAGAACAUGUGAUUUUCUUGCUUGUUUUUCCUUCCAAACAUCACAAAAUGACUAAAAACACUAGGAUAUUAUGAAAUCUAGCAAAAUUCAUCACAAAAACUUCUCUCUCUAGAUUUGGCCAGCAAAGGUUCCCUCUUGAAAACUUGAAUUUCAGCCAUGGAGAGUGAAAAAUAAUGCAUGGGAAAGGUAGAUCACAAGCUAAAAUUAAAAAAUCUUACCUUUACUUGCUUAAUUCCUUGAAAUCCAACAAUUUCUCUUGAAUUUUUCCUUCCUAGGGUUUGUUCUUCUCUUUUUCUCUUUGUUCCCUUGCUUGGCUGGCCAUAAGAGUGAAAUGGGAGAAGCUUAAGUCGGUUUAUAAAGGAAAAUCAUAAAAAUAUUAAAGCUUGACACAUGUCACCAUUUAAUUGGUCCAUGAUUAAAAACUUAACCAUUAAGCAAUUUCUCACCACCGCAUGUAAGCCCAUAAUUAUCCAAAGUAUAAAGUGAUAAUAGGUGAAAUUCAUGGGCUUGACAAGUGUCAUGGUGGUGUAAAAUUUCAAUUAUGUCCUCAUGGACACGUGAAAUGACCAUUUUGCCGGUAUACUCGAAAAAUGUCGAAAUUGAAAUUUUUCACUCCACAAUUUCAAAUUAUGCUCCAAAUAGUCAAACUUUGUCAAAAAUCUCGUCCAACAUUCCAAUUUUUCCCUUGGGUGGCAAAAUGACCAUUUUACCCCUACGUUUUGAAAAUUCUCGAAUUAACUCCAAAUCAAUCCUCGAAUUUUGAAUCAUCAUAUUAAGACAUUUUAAGGUUCAACAACUAUCAAAUACAUCAUAAAAUCUUUAUUUGGUCUAGUUCGAGGUUUUAAUCAACUUAAUUGUACCACUAGGUACAAUACUGACUUUUAACGAUUUUUCGAUACAUUCACUUAUGCAUACAUUCUAUCAAGCACAUGAAUGACAUGACAAAUAUAUUAUAGAGUAGGGCUUGAUAGCAUUACCCCCCUUAAAAUAAAAUUUUGACCUCAAAAUUUCACUUACCGGACUUGGAGAAAAAGAUGCGGGUAUUGGUUUCUCAUCUGGUACUCAACUUCCCAUGUCAUUUCCUCCAUCCGAGCAUUUUUUCACAACACCUUAACCAUUGGAAUGUUUUUAUUCCUAAACACUCGAUCCUUUCGAUCUAAAAUACGCACAGCUUGCACCUCGAACGUUAAAUCCUUUUGCAACUCAAUCGGAGGUGCCUCAAGGAUAUGGGAGGGAUCAGGUACAUACUUAUUCAGCAUCGAGACGUGGAAGACUAGGAGACCUCAACCUCUAUAGGCUUGUAACUAAGCAUAGAUGUAAUAACACAAGCUAGGGGUAGUUUCGUCAUUUCUACUAAUAAGUUCCCAGAAGGUGGUUUUAUGAUAUUUUAAGGUCUAAAUAGGCAUAAGACCACAUAAGUAAUGCAUAAUGAUGAAAACAAGAAGAAAACUAGAAAUGACAAUAAUUGUCAUAACAGGGGCAAAAUGGUCAUUUUUUACCUCGGGUCAAAAUUUUUAAGUUUUCAUUAACCAGAGCAUUUCUAGACUAUUAUGGACCUUGUCCCAGUGUCAAAGGAGUAAAAAGAUUGCAUAAAGGGUUAGAGGAGAGCAAGUUAAUUUGUGGAGGGGUAUUUUGGUAAUUUAAGUGGAAUGGAUAAGAUUGGCUAUAAAUAUCUCUUUGUUUCAGCAGCUUCUUCUCCCAUUUUUUUCAGCAGCUUUUCUUCUUCUUCUUCUCCUCCUAAUUCACGUUGCUUUCAACCUCCAUGGAAGCUUGAUAUGGAGCUUGCAUAAUUUUCUCUCUAGCUUUAAUUUUCAUACCUUUGUGCCCUUUUGACUAGAAUCCUUAUAUUCUUUCACUUUCUCACUUCAAAACCCUUGAUAAAUCUUAAUUCCAUACUUUCUUUCACUAGUUGGGCAUUCUAGAGAGAGAAAGAGAGAAUUACCCCAUUUGUUUGGAAGCUAUUGGACAAAAAUUCAACUACAAAGAAACCCUAGGGUGAGUGAUGAACUAAGCUUGAUUUUUAGCUAUGAAUAAUGGCUAGUAAUUUGGAUUAUGAGUUGUUUUAUUGUUGAGUAUGUUCAUUCCUUUUAUAGUGAUUAAGAUAGUGAGCAUAUAUAGCCAUUUAAAGUGGUAAUUGAAAGCUUGCUAAGGGAUAGCUUUUAGAGUUUAUAAGUAUGAAUUGACACUAAGGUAAUGUUAAUUUGAUGGUAGGUUCUAUCAAAGCCCCAUCACCCCAAUUGGAUCAUUAGAGGAAUUAGAGUUAGCUAAAGGCUCAACAAUAUACCAGUGAGUGAACUACCUUCAAAACUUGUUUUGGGGAAUAUAAUGUAUUCGCCACACAUUUGAAUGAAUUAUCAAGUUUUUCAUAAAAACAAGUGCCUUGGGAACAAGCUUUUGCUAAAUGGUUUUAUGUUGUGAUGUGUGAUUGCUAUGGAUUCAUGCACUAUUGCAUUAUGAUGAUAAAUAUAUAUAUGUGUGUUGUGCAUGAUGAUCGAUAUUGUGUAUGAUAACUGUAACCGUGUGUGUGCACAAUGUGGGGAAUGCACAUGCCAAUGAUGAUGGUGGCGUGAGAGAUGGAUGAUGAUAGUGCCCGUGUGCACGAUGUGGGGGGAUGUACAUGAUGGCACUGAUUUUGCAAGAUGUGGGGGGAUGCACACAAUGGCGCCAACUAUGUGCACGAUGUGGGGGGAUGUACAUGAGCCAGGUGUGAUUAUGAUGAUAUGGAUGUUAUUUAUGUAUGUAUGCAUAUCUUUACUUAUGAAAUGAAAGAGCAUGGAAAUGAUAUAUGAUUGAAAUGUAUGUGAAAUUUGAUACAUUGCACUUUGGGGAUUUCAUGUGUUUCAUGUUGUCAGUGUCAUUUUAGCAAGAUGGCUUUUAUUGGGGGAAUGGAAAUCUUGUUCAUGUUGCUCUGUUCUCGCUGCAGCAAGAAACUCUCAAGUUUUUGAGAGCCUCACCAGUUUGGUUCUCGCUGUAGCGAGAACGCAUUCUCGCUGUAGCGAGAAACAUUCUGUUUUAGGACCAAAAUUUCGUUGCAGCGAGAUUCAUUCUCACUGCAGCGAAAAACUUUAUGUUUUGUUUCCUUUUUAGUUCGGUUGCUGCUCCAUUUUCCAUUUCUUUGGUACCAUAGUUGAGCUUGGACUUCCAACAUUAAGGAAUAAGUGAAUUAAGUUUAAAAUGAGUAAGUUUGGUGAGAAACUCUCGGCUAGUUGAGGAACCCUCAUUCGGCUAAUAACUUAAUCCCAACGUCGUUGUAGCAAAAAUUCAUUCUCAUUGCAGCAUAGCUUUGUUGUCGCAUUUGACUUGCUUGUGUAUCACUGAAGCCUUCAUUUUUCAAAUUAUUUGUUAUGUAUGGGUUCAUCAUUACCAAGUGAUUAAUAUUUAAGGGUUUAAUGAGGGGUUUUCAAUAUGAAUGAAAUUAAAUUGCAUUGUUUUAAAACAAGUGCAUCAUGAUUUUAAAUUCUCCCUUAUGGUUGCUUGUUCUCUUCCUUGUUCACUCACUGAGUUUAUGCUCACCGUUUUCAACUUCAUGUUUUUAGAUCACGAGGCAACCAGUAACGAGGACGAGGUGUCCUUGUAGACUUGUAUCCAUCUUUUGGUAGGUGUCUCGACAUUCAGUAGUUGUACAUUCGUCCGAGUCUCUCCGCUGGAAGUCGAGUAUUCUUUUGUUGUGUAUAGACAAACCUAAUGUAAAUUAUUAAGAUACAUGUUGUAGACAACGUAUAUACACUUGUUUAGUAUGCCAGUAUGAAGUGGCAAUGUUUAAUAUUACUUUGAUCCUAAGUUAAGAAAUGUGACUUAGUAGUUUAUGAUGGAAUGAUGAACAUGCCAGAUUAAUAGGCUUGCUUAGGCUUAGUGGACUACGUCCAUUGGGCCCAUGUGCCGGUCAUGGCCCAAAAUUUGGGUCGUGACAAAGACAUUGUGAAUCCGAUCCAACUCCGGGGGUAAUUCUAUUCUAUAUUGUCACUGGCCCAAUCCUUUCAAUGAUACGUAAAGGGUCUAAUGUAUCUCGGAUUGAGCUUUCCUCGCUUUGCAAACCGAAUCACACCUUUCAUUAUUCAACAAGAUACCACGAUUUACCACAAUAGUAAAAUCAAAUAAAACUUAAUAUCUCAAAGUAUUCAAAUCAUUACCUUUCCAAGGAAAAACCUUAAGAAAAACUCUAUCAUCAAUUUCAAAUUCUAGAUCUUUUCUCCGUCUAUCAGAGUAACUUUUUUGCCUGUCUUGAGCUGUCUUUAAUCGUUCUCGAAUAACCUUGAUCUUGUCAUUAGUUAGAUCAAUCAACUCUACAUUAAACAAUUUCCUGUCACCUACUUCAUCCCAAUAGAGUGGAGUUCGGCACUUUCUUCCAUACAGAGCCUUGUAUGGGACCAUCCUGAUACUAGACUGAAAAUUGUUAUUAUACGUGAACUCCACCAACGGCAAGUGUCUGUGCCAACUCCCAGUAAAAUCAAUGACACAAGCCCGUAGCAUAUCUUUCAAAGUCUAAAUAGUCCUUCCAGAUUGACCAUCUGUCUGUGGAUGAAAGGUAGUACUAAACCUCAACUUAGUUUCGAGAGCUUCUUGAAAUUUCGGUCAGAAUCAAAAAGUGAACCAAGGGUCUCGAUCUGACACAAUAGAAACUAGGACUCCAUGUAAUCUCACUAUCUCAUCUAUAUAAAGCUUAACUAGUUUCUCAAUGGAAUACGUGCUAUCAAUAGCCAAGAAAUAGCGGACUUAGUCAAUCUACCCACAAUCACCCAAAUAUCAUCCUUCCCACUCUCCUUUCGCGGUAAACCCAAUAUAAAGUCCAUAGUCACGUGCUCCCACUUCUAUUCAGGGAUAGGUAGAAGCUAAAGAGUACCUGAUGGUUUCUGAUGUUCCGUCUUGAUUUGUUGGCAUGUGAGACAUUUCAUCACAAACUCGACUAUGUCUCGUUUCAUACCCGGCCACUAAUAACAUUUAUCAUCGUAUCAUUUAUACAACUCAUUAAACACGUCGAAUUCAAAACUCAAAUCACCAUGAAUAAUUCUUCACUUUAGUUGAUCACAUAAUCAUCUCCAUAUAUAUAUAUAUAUAUGUGUAUGUCCAUAUACAUUUAAGUGCCAUCAUCCAUCACUAUCGGUAAGGACCCUCGUCAAUUAUGUUCGAACUAAAUUGCCUCUAUUCAUUCUAAUCCAUAACUAAGGUUCAAUAUCAUAUUCUCAUAGCACAUGUUUCCCCUUUUUACUUUCUAUUUUAUUCCCAUAGGUCAAGUUUAAUCCAUGAAUAUUAGGGUAUAAUCAACUCCAAAUUACCCUUUUGGAUGUUUGAGUUACCAUUUAAUUUACAUCCUACCAUAAAAUGUUUCUUAUGUAAUCCAUAUGGAUUCUCAUUGUGCCUAUGCAUAACUUCACAUAAUUUACAUGCUUAUACUCUUUUCUUAUCAUUUCCAAUCCUAUGUAUAAACUCCAUUAUACCACGCAUCCUUACAUCACAAUGUCAUUAACCACAUUUCAAUCAUUAGAUAUCAUUUUCAUCCAAUCACAAUCUGGUAUCCACAUAUGCUUUAUGAUCUUAUUGAUCCUUUAGAGGUUUUCUUUAAUUCAUCCUUGUAUCUUAUGCAAUAUCACAAUUCCUAAAAGUCAUCUUUGUUUCUCAUUUACCUUGUAUACUUCUAUCAUAUAUGUCCUUAUUCAUUUCCAUAUCAGUUAGUCACUUAAGAUUUAAAUUCAUUGAAGUCGUGUGCAUUUCUUACAUUUUGAAUACUAGUUUCCCUCGUUAGGAAAUUUUCAUUAACUAACUUCAUUAUCAGGAUUACCUUCAAUCAUCUUGUACUAUUUCUUUACACCAAUAUACCCAAACAUUCUCUUUAGCGUCUGCACAAUCAACUCUGAUAUUUACAAACUUAAUAUAGAUUUUACUUAAGUAUCCCUCGACAUCAUCGCCAAUAUCUAAUUUCAAUCUCACAUCGAGCGACUUCAUAACUUAUGCUUUAACCAUUAAGCUUCUUGACAAUUCUAAGUUCCACAUUUCCUUAUCAUGUAUAUAAAAUAUUUUAAAGUACUACUAACCAUUAUUCUUGACACUUACAUUUCGGUCUAUUCGUUUCAAAACUCUUAUACAUUGCCAAUAUAUAAGUCAACGAAGAAACUUUCCAAUUCAUUCAUAUCAAUACCUUCCAAAACCUUAAAACUCCAAUUAAUGAAGCUUAACAUCAAAUCCAAUAACCUUAAUUCAACUCGUAAGUUCAACUUCCUGUCUUUCACCUCGUAGUCCUACGUCCCAGAUAUAAGGUGUUUUAGCGCGGCGGCACGGUGGCUGCUGAAGUUUACUUAAUCAAUGCUAUUCGUCUAAAUUUAAGGUUACUAUAUUAAUCAUCCUCAACUGUUUGGUUUUCCUCCAAGCUUACGUCGCAAUUUUCAUAACCCUUAUAUUCUCUUGUGCUUAUCACAUAUAAUAGGCCAAGCCAAUAUUUUCAAAUUCAUCUCAUUCUUUAACACUUGUCAACAUCCAUUACCACAGGUAAGAAUCCUUUCUUACUUUCCUCAAUUUCGACAUAUCUCGAAUUGUACACCACUUAUCGUCGAGAUCUUGGCUUUGCUCUCCCGUUUUUAACCAAUUACAUUUAUAAAGUGAAUAAUUUACUAAAUUAUUACAUCUUGCCUUUGCGGUCAUAAGAUCAAAGUUUCUUAAGCUUAGGAUGCAGAAGCUUCCUCUUAGAGCAUAUCCGAAAAUCAACAUUUUUUGAAUACGUUACCUUUGAAGAAAUCAAAUUUAAGACUAAUCAUUUGCACCAUAGUUUGCAUAUUAAUCCAAUUAGAAUUUUAAAUUGAUCCUUACAGUAAUUUGUAUAUCAAGCUCCAAUAUAAAUCUCCAUAUGGCAUUUAGACUAGAAUCAACCUUUUCAAGUCAUUUAAUUUCAAACAACUAAAUCCAUAUCUAGUCCUUUAAUCCUUUGGCUCCACACUAAGCAUAGCAAAAUUCAAGCCUAUCCUUAGAGUAGAUCAAUAGAGAAUUCGAGUUCUCGAUCAAGAGGUAGUCUUGGUAAUUCAGUCGAAAACACAUCAGAGAACUCAUUUACUAUUGAGACAUCCUCUAACUUGGUUCCCCAUUUGCUGUAUCAAACACAUGUGCUAAAUAAGCCGAAUACCCUUUCUGCACUAGUUUCAAAGCUUUGAUAGCCGAGAUUACACAGGAUGGUAAUACUCGACGUUCCCCUACAAAUACAACUUCUACUCCUUCAGAAUUCUAAAGUACAACUUCCUUCUUGAAACAAUUUACAUUCAUCCGAUGUGCAGUCAACCAAUCCAUACCCAAUAUCAAAUCAAAAUCUCGAAUUUCUAGGGGACUUAAGUCGGCCCUGAAUUCUUCCUCACCAACUCUUAUUCCAUAGUCUCUAUAACAGGUGUUUCUAACCAACUACUCUCCUAGAGGGGUAUGAACUACAAUUCCCUCCUCUAAAAGUGAUAGGUUUCUAUCAGAAAAGGAUGCGAAUGUCGUGUUCACAUAAGAUCUAUCCGAACUAGAAUCCAUGAAGACAUAAGCAUCUCUGUCAAAUACAGACAUGGUACCUGUCACUGCACUAGGUCGGACUCGUGCCUCUUCCUUUCUCGACUGAUCUAGCGAGAGGUGGAAGUCCACUUUGAGGAGGCAUAAUAAUUUAUAAGAAGAACCUGAACGAGUUUAGACAACUUUAGGUUCUAUAUGCAGAUGCAUGCAUUCGACUUAAUCUAACCUAACUUGGGGUCACACUAACACUAUAGUUUUUAAAAUAACUUUAAAACCAAAAGCUCUGAUACUAAUUAGAUUGUCACGACCCAGUACUCCCUUUGAGCCCGUGACAACCCCCGCGAUGUCUCGAUAGACAUUCAUUACCCGAAAUGCCAUCUGAAACCUCGCAAGGCUCUUGCAUCAAUUUUACGUCUCCCCUAUGAGCAACAGUUACUAAAUAUCAUGUUUUAAGAGAAUAUAAACUAUUUUUAAAUCAAAAACAAAUAAAAGUAAUUUCUGCCACACAGGGGUAUUUUGGUCAUUUUUACCUGAAAAUUUUGAAACUUGGUGAAAAUACAACAUACGAUCGAAAAAUAUACAUUUCUUAUCUAAAAAUAAUUUUAGUAAUCUAAAUCAUCCAUUUAAAAUAAAAUUUUGGCUAAUUAAACUAAAUAAAAAUAUUAAAUAAAAUAUUUCAUUUUCUUAUAAAACAAUAUUUAUAAAACCCUGCGUAAAUAAUUUUUGUAGCGUAAAAGUAAAAUAAAUUCAUACAUACAGUGGCACAAACAGCCAGGUAUACAAAAUAUUCUACAAUGACAUGUGGGCCCCCAAAAUAAACAUAUAUGUACAAGACUAUAGACUUGAGAUUUCUAAGGGUGCAAACCCAAAAGCAAACCCUCGACAUAAUCAGCGGUCUACAGACUGUCCUGAGCCUGAAAUGAGUGAAAAGAAGGGGUGAGUUUUUAUAAACCCAGUGAGUAAGCAAAUUUGAUCUAUAACAUCUAAAACCGAGUAAAUGGAGACAAUUUAAAACAUCUCAUCAUAAUAUGAUUCAUAACAUCAAAUCUCAUUUCAACCCAUGUAAAUCAAUUUCAUUUCAUCAAAAUCAACAAGGCUUAUGAUUCUCGUAAAAACUUGGCUCGUGCCAAAAACUUGCACUCGGUGACACCUUGUGCCGAGGCAUCCAACCGAGUCCGCCAAGGCUGUUAAAAUAACAUAUGAGUAAAAAACUCUUUUUUUUUUUUUACAUUUAAAAGCACAGCCAUUCCUUGGCGUUGGCUAAGUUUCACCUUCACAUGGUGGUUCGGCGUGAAGUGAACUCUAACGUUACCAUAGGAGAUACCCUCCGCGCCUAUUGUACCAAGGUAAAAUAUAACCGGGUUUACCGUGCCCCUCUAAUAGGCUAGUCCACGGAAACUCGCCCACUGCAGUAAGCUAAUCAAAUAACCCACCAAUUCAAUAAAAUUUUCGACAGCAUGACAUGGCUAAUAUAAUAUUACCAGCUUGUCAAGGCAAAGCAAAACAAUUCAUAUAUUCCACACAAACACAAAUCUAGCCAUGCUUGCCAUCACAUUGUCAUAAGCCAUCAAUUCAAACCAUAUGUCAAAACAUAUAUAUAACACAAGUAUAUAGUCUCCACUUACUCAAUUUCCAAAACCAGUAUUCAAUUUCAAAGCAAGUUAUAAAUCUCAUUUUGUUUAAUCAACACUUCAAUUAUAAAACAUAAAAACGAGUAUAAACUACUUUAGAUAAUUAAGAUGAAAGUUUGAUUACUCACAAUAGCAAGAGUUUGGAGUACUCCUAUUCUUGGUCCUCGGGCACAAUAUCUUUACCCUUAUCAAAGGGCUCACCACCUAUACAUAAUACACGACACGUAAUUCAAUAUAUUUAUGCCAAACUGUUAUGAAACUAUUUCAGGCUCUAUAUGAAUGCAUGACGUUGAAUGAGAAUUGUCCGAAUAAUCACUUAAAGACGGUGUUCUACAUGGGUUCAAUUAUGAUCGGAAUGAAUUUGUAUUCGACCUAAUUCAAACUAUACACCAUUGAUUUAACCAAAACAUCCGAUUCUACUCCAAAUAUAUUCAUUACACUCCCAAUAAUCUAAUACACCAAAGCAUUACAAUGAACUUGAUUUUUGACUAACUUCACCAUUUUUCGAAAUUCAUUCCGAUUCCAAACUAACAUACUAAUCAAUGUCUACACAGUCUCGUAAAUCCAUAUAUAUCAUUAGGAAUCAAAUCCAAGUCCAUUUACUAUGAUUUUCUCAGUUUCCAUCAAGCCAUUUUCUAAAGGAACUAUACUUUUCAAUAACCGAUUUCGAUAUCCAACAUCAUAAUUCAUCAAUUCCUAGCUCAGUAAUAUGAAUUACAACCAAAUCCAUCAUCAACAUGCUCUAUAGAAAAUUCGGCCAAAUGAGGGUGGUUGAAGAACAUGUGAUUUUCUUGCUUGUUUUUCCUUCCAAACAUCACAAAAUGACUAAAAACACUAGGAUAUUAUGAAAUCUAGCAAAAUUCAUCACCAAAACUUCUCUCUCUAGAUUUGGCUAGCAAAGGUUCCCUCUUGAAAACUUGAAUUUCAGCCAUGGAGAGUGAAAAAUAAUGCAUGGGAAAGGUAGAUCACAAGCUAAAAUUAAAAAAUCUUACCUUUACUUGCUUGAUUCCUUGAAAUCCAAUAAUUUCUCUUGAAUUUUUCCUUCCUAGGGUUUGUUCUUCUCUUUUUCUCUUUGUUCCCUUGCUUG
rnacentral:lncRNA from 1 species